AGUGAACGCUGGCGGUAGGCCUAACACAUGCAAGUCGAACGGCAGCACAGUAAGAGCUUGCUCUUACGGGUGGCGAGUGGCGGACGGGUGAGGAAUACAUCGGAAUCUACUUUUUCGUGGGGGAUAACGUAGGGAAACUUACGCUAAUACCGCAUACGACCUACGGGUGAAAGCAGGGGAUCUUCGGACCUUGCGCGAUUGAAUGAGCCGAUGUCGGAUUAGCUAGUUGGCGGGGUAAAGGCCCACCAAGGCGACGAUCCGUAGCUGGUCUGAGAGGAUGAUCAGCCACACUGGAACUGAGACACGGUCCAGACUCCUACAGGAGGCAGCAGUGGGGAAUAUUGGACAAUGGGCGCAAGCCUGAUCCAGCCAUACCGCGUGGGUGAAGAGGGCCUUCGGGUUGUAAAGCCCUUUUGUUGGGAAAGAAAAGCAGCAGGUUAAUACCCCGCUGUUCUGACGGUACCCAAAGAAUAAGCACCGGCUAACUUCGUG
rnacentral:rRNA from 1 species